GAAAGAGUUUCAAAGACUUCAAAACUUUGGACCUCAUAAUUGCUUGCAGAAAGAACUUCCUAUGUUCAAGUCUGUGCCUGUUACCUCCUGUCACUGGCCACCACUGAAAAAAGACUGGCCCUAUACUCCUGUCACCCACCCUAUCUCACUUUGGAUCCCUACUCCUGUCAUUGAUGUGUUUAAAUCCAAAAGGAGAAACAGCGAAGAACAGUGAAAAGCAAACUAAUAGAAAAAAAUAU